rnacentral:rRNA from 1 species
UAAAACGUAGGACACAAGCGUUAUCCGGAAUUACUGGGCGUAAAGCGCGCGCAGGCGGGUCAACAAGUCAUGCGUGAAAGCUCCUGGCUAAACUGGGAGAGGUCGGAUGAGACUGUUGGUCUGGAGGGCGUCAGAGGAGUGUGGAAUUCCGCGUGUAGUGGUGAAAUGCGUAGAGAUGCGGAGGAACACCAGUGGCGAAGGCGGCACUCUGGGGCGCACCUGACGCUGAGGCGCGAAAGCAUGGGUAGCGAACGGGAUUAGAAACCCCGGUAGUCCAUGCCGUAAACGAUGUACACUAAACGUUCGUGCCACGAAAGUGGUGUGAGUGUUGAAGCUAACGCGAUAAGUGUACCGCCUGGGGAGUACGGUCGCAAGGCUA